UACUCCCUCCAUCUCUUUAGCGAGCGCAGUUCAAUAGCGUCUCCCUUUCCCUUUUUCCCUCCCAUUCAAAACCGCCUCCUUUCCCUCCCCCUCCCAAAAGUCCUCUAGUAGUAGUUGCAGUUCGCAAGCGAAGGAAGGGGCGUAUCCCAUUGAUUUACUACCCAAAGAGACGAAUCUGCGGCGGGAGUGUGUGUGAGAAGCAAGCAAUGGAGGGGGUGUAGAGGAAGGCCAAGAAGACACUGGGCGUCGACCUGUGCGCGCACCUCGCCGCCAUCGCCGACGACCGGGAGGACGGUGCCACCGAGCGCUGUGGCUUGGAUGUGCUCUCCCUGGAUGAGUCGGCAGCUCUCGCGUUGGCGCCGAACACGCCGACGGCGACGGCCACUGCUGACUCCGGUGCGUUACGGAGGUCGAAGUCCAGAGGCAAGUCCUCCAAGAUACGGUGUUCGUCCGCUCGGCAAAUCUUGGAUGCAGCCAUGGGCGUUUGGAUUUGGAUGGUAUUGAUUUUUUAAUGUCGUGCUUUGUCUUAAGCUGUGCCUCUAGGAUCUGUCAUUUGUUACUUUGUCUCGAGUAAUCGUCUCAUGCUAUUUUUGUGGAAAUCAUCUCAUGCUGUUUUUGUGGAAA